GCCGGGAUGGCGGAACUGGCAGACGCGCCGGACUCAAAAUCCGGUGGUAGAGAUACCGUGUGGGUUCGACCCCCUCUCCCGGCA
rnacentral:tRNA from 1 species